rnacentral:tRNA from 1 species
UUAAUUGAAACCAAAAAGAGGUAAAUCACUGUUAAUGAUUAAAUUGAAACAAAUUCCGAUUAAA